rnacentral:tRNA from 1 species
GCGGUCGUGGUGUAGCUGGUUAACACAUCUCCCUGUCACGGAGAAGAUCGCCGGUUCGAGUCCGGUCGACCGCGCAA